ACAACUGGUCACAGCCCAACAUGAAGACUAGCGUCAAGAUCAUUCACGCCAGAUGGGCCGGGUGGAACUCCGGGAUGUUAAUCGUAAAGAAGAGUUUGUGAGGAGGAUUGAAGAAGCUGCAAGAAGUAAUCUGAUCCUGAUUUUCAGCUAACUAAUAGUGAAGUAGCACAUAUAAUGAUGUAUUCUUGGUAUACAUUUGUGGCCUCUAUAGGACUGGGAAGCUACAGUUCCAUGCAAGUGAUGAUGAGAUUGUGCAACAAUGUGACAAAGUAAUGAGGACAUUAACUAUUAUAGUUCUAAGUUCCCCCUGAGACUCACAUAAUCCAGCAUAUUUUUUUUU